rnacentral:rRNA from 1 species
GAUGAACGCUGGCGGCGUGCCUAAUACAUGCAAGUCGAGCGAACGGACGAGAAGCUUGCUUCUCUGAUGUUAGCGGCGAACGGGUGAGUAACACGUGGAUAACCUACCUAUAAGACUGGGAUAACUUCGGGAAACCGUAGCUAAUACCGGAUAAUAUUUUGAACCGCAUGGUUCAAAAGUGAAAGACGGUCUUGCUGUCACUUAUAGAUGGAUCCGCGCUGCAUUAGCUAGUUGGUAAGGUAACGGCUUACCAAGGCAACGAUGCAUAGCCGACCUGAGAGGGUGAUCGGCCACACUGGAACUGAGACACGGUCCAGACUCCUACGGGAGGCAGCAGUAGGGAAUCUUCCGCAAUGGGCGAAAGCCUGACGGAGCAACGCCGCGUGAGUGAUGAAGGUCUUCGGAUCGUAAAACUCUGUUAUUAGGGAAGAACAUAUGUGUAAGUAACUGUGCACACCUUGACGGUACCUAAUCAGAAAGCCACGGCUAACUACGUG